rnacentral:misc_RNA from 1 species
CUCGGUUCGAGCUGGUGAAGCCGGUUGUGAAGUCGAAAUUGAAGCGAUUGUUCGAGAGACAAUUCCCGAACGUACUGAGAAAUUCGGCAGAGAAGGCCAACUUGGAAGAAUUGAACGCUAACAAGGACAGCUCCGAUGGCGUCUCUUCUGAGUUAGAGCCGAGUUCUAUAUGCUUGGCGAAUAUGGUCCAGAAUUUCAUAGAGGACAACAAUGAGAAACAAUUCAGCGCAUCUAGG